GGAAGGAAAUUGACAAAGUUCAUGUUUUGGGUCAAAUUCGUGGGUUUUGGUAAUCUGUCUUUUGGGGGCCCUUCUGCUAGGAAUCAAUUUUUGGUGUCUUCAUAACUGUAAAAGUACGUUUCAAUACGAAGAUUUCGGUACCAAGAUCAUGCAAAACCGAUAAUCACACAAUUAGUUAUGAAUUUUUGAAUACUGGCUGUUUGCUGGAUGUGCGAUUCUGUGCGUGGCUGUCUUCUUUUAACUUUCUGGGCAUGAUGAACAUUUUGGGUGGCUUUGGGGUCUUUUACAGGAGCUGCAUAUUUAAGUUAAGAAGAGAUUGGCGUUGGAAUCAAGUAAUUUGGUUAAGUAUACAAUUUUUGGUGAAUUUCUAAAGCAGGGUUGGUUGACUGGGGCGAAAAUGGUUGCGAAUCGGUUUUUCUUUUGAUUGUUGGGUUAACCUCCUCUCGUUUCUGAACCUGGGAUUUUAACUGAGUGUAGGGCUUGUAGUGGUGCAACUUUUGGUGUUGGUUUCAAUAUUUUUGGGUUUAAGAUGAAAGAGUUAUGAUUUUUCAAUCAAUUUUACUUAUUCCCGCGUAGAAUCUGACAGCACCGACGGACUUUGGUAUAAUGGCCAUAACUCCUAGCUCGGGACUCGAAAUGACACACCGUUUGUUUUGUUAGAAACUAGACACAUAGAGCUUUCCAACGAUACAUCUCAUGCAUCCUGGGUAUGUCCGAGCGAUAACAGAUUUGCAUCUAAAGUUGACCUAAAUUCUGCCUUUGCACCAGUUUUUACUGUUAUGUUGAAGCUAUAAUCGUAAGGCCGUAGUUAGGUUACCCGAACUCUGUUUUUGAUGUAUGACCUAUGGAUUCAAAGAAGAAGAAGUCUACUUUUCAAUGGUUUAAGUGUCGCCCUGGAAUUCAUGUUGUUUAAUUAGAUAUGGCCAAAAUAAGACAGGCUGGUUGUGGUUGUUAUUCUUGUUUUGGGAGUUUUGUUGCGUUGGGCUGUUUGGUUGAGAUUGUACACUUAUGGGUCUUUAUAUUUGAUAUAUUUGGGUGUGUUGGAGUACCUUGGAGUAUGGAAAAGAUGUGUGAGGUCUCCCGGCGGGUAUGUGGGUACUCCCAGACACCUCUAGAGAUUUUGGUGACUUUGUGUAAUGUUUGCCCCAUUAGCUAGUGUAGAAGGCAUGUUAUGAUUUGUUAGUCUAGCAUUUGGUUUAACAUUCCUAGAUGUUCAUAUGCUAAUAUGGGUUAACUUGUGGCUAGGUAACGAGCCGGUCUUUUAGGAGGUGCCGAAACCGUAAGUUUGGCAUACUCCAGUCGAAUGAAAGGUGACAGGUGGCUUAGAGUGGGUCCACUACUGGUCAACGCUUUGGAGAGUGCUAAGACUAGCGUCGGGUGAUGUCUUUGGUUAGAUUGUUGCGUAGCUGAUUCGUCUAGAAGCUAACCUAAAUUUUAUGUAAUUAAUUGGAGAGAGGGAUAUUUAUUAUAACUUGAGAGUUGAGGUUUUGGGCGUUGACUUGGUUGUAUUUUAAGUGAGAAGUCUUCCGCUAA